rnacentral:autocatalytically_spliced_intron from 1 species
CAAAGACGGUUUAGAUGAGCUUUUGGAGAUAAGGGAAAAGAUAAAUAUUGGAGCAGGCAGAACCAGAAAAUACACGAAGAAGGACGUGUUGUUAGAAUCCUCAGAGACUAUACGCUAACUUCCUUAUUUGGAUAGAUAAGGAAAUGAUAUAGUCCGACCUGCAUGGAAACAUGUAG